UAGGGAAUCUUCCACAAUGGACGCAAGUCUGAUGGAGCAACGCCGCGUGAGUGAAGAAGGCUUUCGGGUCGUAAAACUCUGUUAUUGAAGAAGAACGUGUGUGACAGUAACUGGUCAUGCAGUGACGGUAUUCAAUCAGAAAGUCACGGCUAACUACGUGCCAGCAGCCGCGGUAAAUACGUAGGUGGCAAGCGUUGUCCGGAUUUAUUGGGCGUAAAGCGAGUGCAGGCGGUCUUUUAAGUCUGAUGUGAAAAGCCUUCGGCUUAAACCGAAGAAAGGGCAUCGGAAAACUGGGAG
rnacentral:rRNA from 1 species